CUUCGGGCAAUAUACAAGGUGCUGCAUGGUUGUCGUCAGCUCGUGCCGUGAGGUGUCGGGUUAAGUCCCAUAACGAGCGCAACCCUAUCAUUAGUGCCAUCAGGUCAAGCUGGGGACUCGUAAUGAAACUGCCUACGCAAGUAGUGAGGAAGGUGGGGAUGGACGUCAAAUCAGCACGGCCCUUACGUCCAGGGCUACACACGUGCUACAAUGGCCGGUACAAAGGGCAGCUACCUGGUGACAGGAUGCUAAUCUCAAAAGACCGGUCUCAGUUCGGAUCGGAGUCUGCAACCCGACUCCGUGAAGCUGGAAUCGCUAGUAGUCGCGCAUCAGCCAUGGCGCGGUGAAUACGUUCCCGGGCCUU
rnacentral:rRNA from 1 species